UCAGGACGAACGCUGGCGGCGUGCUUAACACAUGCAAGUCGAGCGGUAAGGCCCUUCGGGGUACACGAGCGGCGAACGGGUGAGUAACACGUGGGCAACCUGCCCUGCACUCUGGGAUAAGCCCGGGAAACUGGGUCUAAUACCGGAUAUGACCUCUGAUCGCAUGAUCUAGGGUGGAAAGUUCCGGCGGUGCAGGAUGGGCCCGCGGCCUAUCAGCUUGUUGGUGGGGUAGUGGCCUACCAAGGCGACGACGGGUAGCCGGCCUGAGAGGGCGACCGGCCACACUGGGACUGAGACACGGCCCAGACUCCUACGGGAGGCAGCAGUGGGGAAUAUUGCGCAAUGGGCGAAAGCCUGACGCAGCGACGCCGCGUGAGGGAUGACGGCCUUCGGGUUGUAAACCUCUUUCAGCAGGGACGAAGCGCAAGUGACGGUACCUGCAGAAGAAGCACCGGCUAACUACGUGCCAGCAGCCGCGGUAAUACGUAGGGUGCGAGCGUUGUCCGGAAUUAUUGGGCGUAAAGAGCUCGUAGGCGGUUUGUCGCGUCGACUGUGAAAACCUACAGCUUAACUGUGGGCUUGCAGUCGAUACGGGCAGACUUGAGUUCGGUAGGGGAGACUGGAAUUCCUGGUGUAGCGGUGAAAUGCGCAGAUAUCAGGAGGAACACCGGUGGCGAAGGCGGGUCUCUGGGCCGAUACUGAC
rnacentral:rRNA from 1 species